rnacentral:rRNA from 1 species
UACGCAGGGGGCUAGCGUUGUUCGGAAUUACUGGGCGUAAAGGGCGCGCAGGCGGCCGCUCAAGUCAGAUGUGAAAGCCCCGGGCUCAACCUGGGAACUGCAUUUGAUACUGAGUGGCUAGAGUUCGGGAGAGGAGAGUGGAAUUCCCAGUGUAGAGGUGAAAUUCGUAGAUAUUGGGAAGAACACCGGUGGCGAAGGCGGCUCUCUGGACCGAUACUGACGCUGAGGCGCGAAAGCGUGGGGAGCAAACAGG